GAUCCUGGCUCAGAUUGAACGCUGGCGGCAGGCCUAACACAUGCAAGUCGAGCGGUAGCACAGAAGAGCUUGCUCUUUGGGUGACGAGCGGCGGACGGGUGAGUAAUGUCUGGGAAACUGCCUGAUGGAGGGGGAUAACUACUGGAAACGGUAGCUAAUACCGCAUAACGUCGCAAGACCAAAGUGGGGGACCUUCGGGCCUCAUGCCAUCAGAUGUGCCCAGAUGGGAUUAG
rnacentral:rRNA from 1 species